AGGGAUGUAGUGCAACUUGGUAGCAUAUUUGUUUUGGGUACAAAAUGUCACAAGUUCAAAUCCUGUUAUCCCUA
rfam:Picea glauca, whole genome shotgun sequence.